GUUCCCAUACCGAACACGACCGUUAAGCCUUCCAGCGCCGAUGGUACUUGGACCGAAGGGUCCCGGGAGAGUAGGACGUCGCCAAGC
rnacentral:rRNA from 1 species